rnacentral:misc_RNA from 1 species
GAUGAAGAACGCAGCGAAAUGUGAUACUUGGUGUGAAUUGCAGAAUCCCGUGAACCAUCGAGUCUUUGAACGCAAGUUGCGCCCGAAGCCAUUAGGCCGAGGGCACGCCUGCCUGGGUGUCACACGUCGUUGCCCCCCCAUCUACUCCUUCGGGAUUGCGGGGGGCGGAUGAUGGCCUCCCGUGCGCCUCGUCGCGCGGUUGGCAUAAAUGCCAAGUCCUCGGCGACGCACGCCACGACAAUCGGUGGUUGCGAAACCUCGGUUGCCCGUCGUGUGCGGUCGUCGCGCAUCGAGGGCUCGAAAAAAUUGCCGGGCUCCGGCUCGGCUUUCAACGCGACCCCAGGUCAGGCGGGGUUACCCGCUGAAUUUAAGCAUAUCAAUAAGCGGAGGA